rnacentral:rRNA from 1 species
AUUGCCCCAGUAACGGCGAGUGAAGCGGCAACAGCUCAAAUUUGAAAUCUGGCCCCAGGCCCGAGUUGUAAUUUGCAGAGGAUGCUUUUGGCGCGGUGCCUUCCGAGUUCCCUGGAACGGGACGCCAUAGAGGGUGAGAGCCCCGUACGGUUGGACACCAAGUCUUUGUAAAGCUCCUUCGACGAGUCGAGUAGUUUGGGAAUGCUGCUCAAAAUGGGAGGUAUAUUUCUUCUAAAGCUAAAUAUUGGCCAGAGACCGAUAGCGCACAAGUAGAGUGAUCGAAAGAUGAAAAGCACUUUGAAAAGAGGGUUAAACAGCACGUGAAAUUGUUAAAAGGGAAGCGCUUAUGACCAGACUUGCGCCCGGUGAAUCACCCAGCUCUCGCGGCUGGGGCACUUUGCCGGCUCAGGCCAGCAUCAGCUCGCUGUCGGGGACAAAAGCUUCGGGAACGUAGCUCUCUUCGGGGAGUGUUAUAGCCCGUUGCACAAUACCCUUCGGCGGGCUGAGGUACGCGCUCCGCAAGGAUGCUGGCGUAAUGGUCAUCAGCGACCCGUCUUGAAACACGGACCAAGGAGUCAACCUUAUGUGCGAGUGUUUGGGUGUCAAACCCCUACGCGUAAUGAAAGUGAACGCAGGUGAGAGCUUCGGCGCAUCAUCGACCGAUCCUGAUGUUCUCGGAUGGAUUUGAGUAAGAGCAUAUAGGGUUGGACCCGAAAGAAGGUGAACUAUGCGUGUAUAGGGUGAAGCCAGAGGAAACUCUGGUGGAGGCUCGCAGCGGUUCUGACGUGCAAAUCGAUCGUCAAAUAUGCGCAUGGGGGCGAAAGACUAAUCGAACCUUCUAGUAGCUGGUUUCCGCCGAAG